UUCUCCACCUGACUCUCCGCCAAUGCCGCCUGGCUCUGGACUAAUGCGUCAGCUGUCGCCCGUAUCUCUGUCCCCAGAUAAUGUUUCUCUUUCUACUGGUCUGCCUUCAAUGACUCGAUCUCGGUCUUCAAAGUUUGAAUCUGAUCCAUGUGCACCUUCAUCAGAUGAGCAAAAUGGUACCACCCUGAGCCCCCAUCGAUUACAGCGGCCUAUGAACAGGUAGGCUACAGUAGGCGACAAUACUGUAAAGUUGGCCUAAUAAUGCUAAAAAUAAUGCUUAAGAAGAUGAUGAUGAUGAAGAUGAUGAGCGAUCGGCAAAGGCCAUCUGUAAUCUGCUGGCAUCACGGCACAACAUCAACAUCGCUCUAAUCACAGUCAGAAGAGAGUAGAAGAAACUUGUGUGGAUUGAUGGAAAGGCUCGGUGUAACAGUAUAACUUUAGUCCGUCCCGUCGCCCAUACCCAGGCUCGAACCAGGGACCCUCUGCACACAUCAACAACUGACACCCACGAAGCAUCAUUACCCAUCGCUCCACAAAAGCCGCGGCCCUUGCAGAGCAAGGGGAACCACUACUUCAAGGUCUCAAAGCAAGUGACGUCACCGAGUGAAACGCUAUUAGCGCGCACCACCGCUAACUAACUAGCCAUUUCACAUUGGUUACACAGGCCCAGGCAUGGAUCAAAGCUGGCGAGACAUUCAAUGAUGUCAUCUUCCCAGACGAAUCAACCGUGGCCCUUGAGCAAACAAAAGGAAGAUGGUCAAGCAAGCCGAGUCCCAAGCAUCUGCUCUAACUCCAUGUGUGGGGGCAAUUUCUCGCCAGGGACCAGGCCCAUAUUUUUGAUGGUAUCAUGGCUCGAGAUUUCUUUGAGGAAGAAAUCAUCAGGAGAAAUGCUGGGCCCUAUGUCAGAGGUGAUUCUGGGACCACAUCGUU